CCUACGGGAGGCAGCAGUGGGGAAUAUUGCGCAAUGGGCGAAAGCCUGACGCAGCGACGCCGCGUGAGGGAUGAAGGUCUUCGGAUCGUAAACCUCUGUCAGCAGGGAAGAACGGUCACUGGGCUAAUCAGCAGUGAAUGGACGGUACCGGCAAAGGAAGCACGGGCUACCUCCGUGCCAGCAGCCGCGGUAAGACGGAGGGUGCGAGCGUUAAUCGGAAUUACUGGGCGGAAAGCGCUCGUAGGCGGUAUGUCAAGUCAAGGGUGAAAUCCCCGCGCGCAACGUGGGAACUGCCUUUGAAACUGGCAACCUGGAGUGUGUGCUAGGCUAGUUGCCUUCCCGGUGU
rnacentral:rRNA from 1 species